CUGUAGCACCAACCAACCGAUCCUUGACUGUAGCUCCAAUCGGCCGAUCUCAAAUCGUCGCCCUUGCACCUUGCCGCAUCUUCUAAUUUCUUCCUCUCCUAACGCCGAUUUUACUCGUGUCGAAAUCUGGCGUCAACACAUGCCCCCCAGUUUUGGAGUAAAACAUAGUCUUUACUUCGAAAUUCUUUUCAACUUCCCUUCCG
rnacentral:lncRNA from 1 species